rnacentral:rRNA from 1 species
GACGAACGCUGGCGGCGUGCUUAACACAUGCAAGUCGAACGGAAAGGCCCUGCUUUUGUGGGGUGCUCGAGUGGCGAACGGGUGAGUAACACGUGAGUAACCUGCCCUUGUCUUUGGGAUAACUUCAGGAAACUGGGGCUAAUACCGGAUAGGAGCUCCUGCUGCAUGGUGGGGGUUGGAUAGUUUCGGCGGUUGGGGAUGGACGCGCGGCUUAUGAGCUUGUUGGUUGGGUAGUGGCUUACCCAGGCUUUGACGGGUAGCCGGCCUGAGAGGGUGACCGGCCACAUUGGGACUAAGAUACGGCCCAGACUCCUACGGGAGGCAGCAGUGGGGAAUAUUGCACAAUGGGAGGAAGCCUGAUGCGGCAACGCCGCGUGCGGGAUGACGGCCUUCGGGUUGUAAACCGCUGUCGCCUGUGACGAAGCGUGAGUGACGGUAAUGGGUAAAGAAGCACCGGCUAACUACGUG